rnacentral:rRNA from 1 species
AGUGAACGCUGGCGGUAGGCCUAACACAUGCAAGUCGAACGGCAGCACAGUAAGAGCUUGCUCUUACGGGUGGCGAGUGGCGGACGGGUGAGGAAUACAUCGGAAUCUACUUUUUCGUGGGGGAUAACGUAGGGAAACUUACGCUAAUACCGCAUACGACCUACGGGUGAAAGCAGGGGAUCUUCGGACCUUGCGCGAUUGAAUGAGCCGAUGUCGGAUUAGCUAGUUGGCGGGGUAAAGGCCCACCAAGGCGACGUUCCGUAGCUGGUCUGAGAGGAUGAUCAGCCACACUGGAAACGAGACACGGUCCAGACUCCCAAGGGAGGGAGCAGGGGGGAAUAUUGGACAAUGGGCGGAAGCCUGAUCCAGCCAUGCCGCGUGGGGGAAGAAGGGCUUCGGGGUUUAAAGCCCUUUUUGUUGGGAAAAAAAGCAGUAGGUUAAUACCCCGCUGUUUUGACGGUACCCAAAGAAUAAGCACCGGCUAACUUCGUG